UUGUGGAGGAGGACGCCGAAGGUGGGGCUAAUGACUGGGGUGAAGUCGUAACAAGGUAGCCGUACCGGAAGGUGCGGCUGGAUCACCUCCUAACAGGGAGACAACAAAAUGUUUAAUAUUAUUAUUUUGUCACCUUAGGUCGAUCGGUAUCUCACAUCCUUAAAUUAAUUAAGGAUUUUAUUUCCUAAGUUUUUCUAGGUCACACCCAUUAUUUUUCCUGGGCCAUUAGCUCAGGUGGUUAGAGCGCACCCCUGAUAAGGGUGAGGUCCCUGGUUCAAGUCCAGGAUGGCCCAUAUCUCUAUGUUGGGGGUAUAGCUCAGUUGGUAGAGCGCCUGCUUUGCAAGCAGGAUGUCAGCGGUUCGAGUCCGCUUACCUCCACUGAUUACCACCUCUUCCAUAAUUUUAAGGAAAUGUUUUGAGUUGUGAUCAAAUUCUGAGCGAAUCUAGCUUCCUAAUGAAAUCAUUAAGAUGCUGGACUCAUUGAAUUAAAUUCAUUGUUUUCAGAGAACCUUGACAACUGCAUAGAUUAUUUUUAAAGACAAUAAGCAUCUUUAAUGAUGCAGAUUUAUUAUUUGUGCGAAUGCAUUAAUAACAAUUCUAUUAAGCUGAUGCUUCAAUUUUGAAGUUAUUGGUCAAGCUACAA
rnacentral:misc_RNA from 1 species